rnacentral:rRNA from 1 species
CCUGGCUCAGGAUGAACGCUGGCGGCGUGCUUAACACAUGCAAGUCGAACGAUGAUCCGGUGCUUGCGCCGGGGAUUAGUGGCGAACGGGUGAGUAACACGUGAGUAACCUGCCCUUGACUCUGGGAUAAGCCUGGGAAACUGGGUCUAAUACCGGAUAUGACUCCUCAUCGCAUGGUGGGGGGUGGAAAGCUUUUUGUGGUUUUGGAUGGACUCGCGGCCUAUCAGCUUGUUGGUGGGGUAAUGGCCUACCAAGGCGACGACGGGUAGCCGGCCUGAGAGGGUGACCGGCCACACUGGGACUGAGACACGGCCCAGACUCCUACGGGAGGCAGCAGUGGGGAAUAUUGCACAAUGGGCGAAAGCCUGAUGCAGCGACGCCGCGUGAGGGAUGACGGCCUUCGGGUUGUAAACCUCUUUCAGUAGGGAAGAAGCCCUCUUUGGGGGUGACGGUACUUGCAGAAGAAGCGCCGGCUAACUACGUGCCAGCAGCCGCGGUAAUACGUAGGGCGCAAGCGUUAUCCGGAAUUAUUGGGCGUAAAGAGCUCGUAGGCGGUUUGUCGCGUCUGCUGUGAAAGACCGGGGCUCAACUCCGGUUCUGCAGUGGGUACGGGCAGACUAGAGUGCAGUAGGGGAGACUGGAAUUCCUGGUGUAGCGGUGAAAUGCGCAGAUAUCAGGAGGAACACCGAUGGCGAAGGCAGGUNUC